ACUCAGGAUGGGGCCAUGGCUGAGACCAUGAGGGCUGCCCAUGCAUGAACCCGCCUGCUGGCCUUCAUGAGCCCACUAUCUGAAUGUGGUUCCCCUUCUCCCCAGAACCAGGUACCACCUCCUCUGGGGAGCCUUCCCUGCCCCUCUGCAGGAUAUGGCCUCCUUGUUGCUCUCCUUCCAUCGGUUUAUGUGCCUGUCUCCACCAACAGACCAGGAGCCUCUGAGGCAGGGACUGGGUCUGUCUGAGUCAUCUCUGCCUUCUUAGCGCUUGCCUAGGUGCUCAGCGAAAGCUCAAACCUGCCUGAGUUCUCACUGUGUCUUCGUUAUCCCCAGCCUGUGAACUCAGGGUUGUUUUCUCUCUCUGAGUGGCACCAGGCUUAGCAGACACUCUGGCCAUGAAGGCAUCUUCUGACUCGAGCAGGCUGGAGUGCAAUGGCGUGAUCUCGGCUCACCGCAACCUCCGCCUCCUGGGUUCAGGCAAUUCUCCUGCCUCAGCCUCCUGAGUAGCUGGGAUUAUAGGCACGCGCCACCAUGCCCAG